AUGACAAUCGUUCCAGCAAUGCCGACAAGCACACAUUUGCACACCAUCACAAGCAACACUCAAGCAGAUAAAACAGCCGCCGAUACUGAAGUGAAUGAUGAAACUGAUGAUAAAGCACAAGGGGAUGAAGAUGGUGGGCAAUCAGAAAUCAUGGUACCUCAGCCGCCGUAUGUUGGACAGAGAUUUGAUUCGUUCGAAGAUGCCAAAGAAUUCUACCAGAGAUAUGCAAUGUUCCAUGGGUUUGCGGUCAACACCAAAUACCAUAGGAAAAUUAAAAAAACUAGGGAGUACAGUAGAGGUGAGAUGAGGUGCUACAAAGCCCGAAGGAACAAGAAGGGUAAAGGUGUUGCGCCUGUCAUUCCGGAACAAAAAAGAGGUAUCAUUGUCAAGACGGAAUGCCCUGUCCAGUGUAAGCUAAAUGUAGACGAAGCAUGA
rnacentral:rRNA from 1 species